AAGAGAGGAUGCUCUUUCCUUGGUGCUGGUUGUGGUAAUACAUAAGUCUGUCUUCAAAAUAAAAUGUAAAUUUUAUCAACCUAGAAAUACGACAUUAAUAAUGAUUGUAAAGACCAAAUGUUUUUCUUUUACCUGACACAAUCUUAGUUUUUAAGUGCAGCCUGCUGCUCUCAGUUCAGAGAUACACUAUGGUCUGCAACUCCACCAACUUGGGAAGAUGUCUUUGCUGCUUUCCUUAUUUAUGCUCUUUCUUCCCAGGCCGGGUGUCUCAAGAGUAAAAAGUCUUUGCAACUUUGCUUUAUAUAGAAAGUUUAAUGGAAAAAAGGCAAACUAGAGGAUGAUCACUAAGGUAUGGAAUAUGAAUAACUGGUCCAAUCGCUGCUUUGUUAUUUGUGUUCUUAUCGUAUAAACUGUAGGUUGUGUGCUUGCAUUAAUUUUUCAUGUUUUGAUUCCUCUGGACUACAACUUUUCAGUGCAAUUCAAGCCUUGCAUUAGAUACCAGAAUUGAUCCAUAAUUAAUGCAUCAUAUGCGCAUUCUUUCACCAUUCUGGUAUAUGAAAGUAUCUUAUUCUCCAAAUCUUUUUGACAACUUUUCUACUUGGGCAGGGGAAUUCAUUCUUUCUCCUUAUUCCUCAAAUUUUUCAAAGUCCACAGCUCUAACCUAUCUAUCUCUUGAGGUAUAUUCUCAAAGCUUUCCACUUGUCUGUAUUGUUUUUGUUCCUACUUGUCAUUUUUUUUUCAGUCGCUAGAUACAUCUUCAGUCUAAACAAUUUCUAUUGAAACUUUAAGAUAGAUUUGACCAAAAUCAACAAUGGCUUAUUUGGCCAUGUAUCAAGAGGGUAUAGUGAUGAUAUUUGUAUGAUUUUAUGUGAUAGCAAGGGGGAUGAAAGUUUAUUUGUAUUGUUUUAGUCUUGAAAGAUUAUCGAGAAAGCAAAUGUAGAAUAUUUCAUGUUGUCUCCUUCAACAAGUUUAGUACCUAUUCUCCCUAAACAGUACAAUAUUAGUGGGGGACCUAUAUCUUUCAUUCUUUGAUUGGCACAACAUAUUUGGCCCAUCCGUGCAUGUGUUAUAUAUGUUUGCAUGUAUGUACGUAUGUAUGUAUGUAUGUAUGUAUGUAUGUAUGUGUGUAUGCAUGUACGUAUUUAAGUGUGUGAAACUGUUCAUGUCUAUUCUAAAUGCACUAUAACAUAUCUUCGGUGCAUAUUAGUAUGUAUUGUUUGUGUGUCUAUGUGUGCAUAUGUACAUAUAUUACAUGUAUAUAUGUAAAAGUUCGUGAAGCAUAUAUGCAUCUAAUUUUUGGCUGCUUUCCGACAGUGUACUUCCCUGAAUCUACUUUACUGAUGACUACGGCUCUAAAUUCCAUCAUCGAUCAUAUAUUGUGGUGUUGGAUCUGAUUUUGAUUUUGACUUCACAAUUACAUUUCUCCUGCCUGAUUAAGUAUAAAGAUACUUUCCUAUAUGAUAUACAGCUAUAUAGAAUAAGUUCAUAGAUAAAGAUAUAUAAAUAUAGAAGUUUGUGAUUACCAAAUGCUUAAAAUUAUGGCUUCUCUAUGUGCAAUUGAGAAUAUAUCCACUAUCUAGUAUAGAGUCUCACAUAUCUUAAUGAGUUUGAUAGAUGCCUUACAAAGAAAUAAAACUAGGUAGAAAUAUGGUCUACUGUUUAAAAGGAAAAUGUCAAAAAAAACAAAUCUUAUGUUCCUUGAAUGAUAUCUUUGCAUUUUUUACAAUCUUUUUUUUUUUGGUGAAAUCUCAUGGUUCUGAUUUCUCAUUAACACUUUAUUCUGUUUGGUGAAGAACCUUUCAUAACCUUCAGUUAAAAGUAUUUGAGCAUAUUGCCAAAAUAGUUGAUUGGCAUGUGGGUGGGAAUAUGCUUCCACAAAGAGAGGCUUCACAUAAUCACAUUAUGUGCUGCAAGGUUUAAAAGUCUAUUUGAUGAAGAUUGGAAUACCAUCAUUAGCAAAUUAAACCAAGCAAAAUCUGUGUUGAACUCUUUUGAUUAAAUUUUACUUCUACUAGAUCUUUAUAGAUAAUUCUCUGUUUUAUAUCAAAUGUAGUUUCAGAAAAGUUCAAAUUUUGAGUAUGCUUUUUGUAGCAGGGCCUGUUCCAGGUUUUGAGCUGAUGAUAUCUGCUAAUGAUAUCAGAUGCCAUGUGUUUUUGCAGAACUAGAGCUUAACUCCUUUUAUGAUAUGUUAUCGCCUAUUUUAUAACUGUUAAAUUGUGAUUACCUAUGUUAUACUACUCUGUGCUUACUAAGUUAGUAUUUCCCCUGUUUCUUUGCUUUGCUCGUUGAAAGAAAAAAAGAGUGGUACAGACCAAAUGUUCUUCCUUGUACGUUCAUUUCCCUUUGGCAGAUUCUUGUUCUUGUUUACUAACUUUAAACUGUUUGAUCUUCCAUAGGUAGCAUAAUUCAACACAUGGGCUGCAUCGUGGGAUUGUGAUUCGCUCAAUCGAACAAGAGAGGAUUGGAUACAUAAAUCAAGAAGAAGCGGGAAAUGACCGCGGAAUUAUAUUCUUUUGGAGAGAAAAUGGAGAGUAAAAGUGGGUUCAUGAUAUUCCAGAGAAUAUGAGAAUCCAAAACUAAAGAAAGCUUGGUGAGUCGCAUUCUCAACUCAAGAAUCGUUUUUUGUUCAUCUCAACCCAAACCCCCCAUAAAAAAAAA
rnacentral:lncRNA from 1 species